rnacentral:rRNA from 1 species
UGGGGAAUUUUGGACAAUGGGGGAAACCCUGAUCCAGCCAUCCCGCGUGUGCGAUGAAGGCCUCCGGGUUGUAAAGCACUUUUGGCAGGAAAGAAACGUCAUGGGUUAAUACCCCGUGAAACUGACGGUACCUGCAGAAUAAGCACCGGCUAACUACGUGCCAGCAGCCGCGGUAAUACGUAGGGUGCAAGCGUUAAUCGGAAUUACUGGGCGUAAAGCGUGCGCAGGCGGUUCGGAAAGAAAGAUGUAAAAUCCCAGAGCUCAACUUUGGAACUGCAUUUUUAACUACCGGGAUAGAGUGUGUCAGAGGGAGGUGGAAUUCCGCGUGUAGCAGUGAGAUGCGUAAAUAUGCGGAGGAACACCGAUGGCGAAGGCAGCCUCCUGGGAUAACACUGACGCUCAUGCACGAAAGCGUGGGGAGCAAACAGG